rnacentral:rRNA from 1 species
UACAGAGGGUGCAAGCGUUAAUCGGAAUUACUGGGCGUAAAGCGUGCGUAGGUGGUUUACUAAGUCAGGUGUGAAAUCCCCGGGCUCAACCUGGGAACUGCGCUUGAUACUGGUAAACUAGAGUUUAGUAGAGGGAAGUGGAAUUCCACGUGUAGCGGUGAAAUGCGUAGAUAUGUGGAGGAACACCGGUGGCGAAGGCGGCUCUCUGGACGGUGACUGACGCUGAGACGCGAAAGCGUGGGGAGCAAACAGG